UUUCUCUUUUGUCCCUAUUAGGACAAGAACCUUUCGACUGGGAUUUUCUUUCUUGAGCUUCUUAGUUGUGUGGAGCCAAGGGUGGUCAACUGGAGUCUUGUCACGAAAGGGGAAACUGAUGAGGAUGAGAAGUUAAAUGCCACAUAUAUAAUCAGUGUUGCUAGAAAGCUCGGGUGUUCCAAUUCUCGUUACCUGAGGACAUUAUAGAGGUAAACCAGAAGAUGAUUCUCACUUUAACAGCGAGCAUCAUGUAUUGGAGCCUGCAGCAACAGGCAGGUGAAUCAGAGACCGGUGAAUCCUCUGAUCUAGAUGCAUCACCAGUGAGUUCUGUAAACGGCGAAAAUGACAAAAUUCUGGCCAGUGAGAGAUCUCCGAUUUGUCUGUCAAUGAUGCUGCUUCAGAUGUCACACCUUCCCCACAACUUGGAAAGGAUGAAUCUUAGCAAGAGGUUGAAAAUACAGAACCAUCACCUAAUAGCGAAAAUGGGGUUACCAUUGAGGGAUCCCCUUCACCUGAAAAUGAAAAGGCCUCUUCUCAUGUGGAAGGCGGAGGACGUGAUACGGAAUGAUGAUAGCUGUGACUAUUAUUUUCUUCUUCUUGGUUUUUUUUUAAAGAGAAUCAAUUUACAGAUGAGUUUUAAUUUACACAAUAGGAAAUGCUCAAUUCAUUUAUACUUGUAAAAUGCAGAAGGUGAAGGGGUCCUGUUUGUAUCCUGCUCGUGACAAUUUUCUUUACAUGACUAUUCUGAUCAUGCUGAAGCCAUAUUUGAUGCUUCAGGAUCAGUUAGAAAUUGAAUGAAAUUUGUUCCUGCUC